GCUCCAAUACAGGGACCUUUACAAGUGCUGAAUUUUCUUCUUUGCCCAAGGAUCCAGGCAAACACAAGAAUUAUGAAAUCUGGUUGGGAAGUUUCAUAAUUGUGUUUUUCCUGACAGGUUGGUGGAAAUUAAACACUUGAAAGGGCAGAGCAGAGAGAGUUGAGAAGGUCUUUUAUUUGGGCCUCUUGAAUAUGUAACAGGCAUUAGAUCCUUAGGCUAAUAUAAUAGAAACUUGAUCAGGAGAUGAGAAGUCAUGAAAGAGAAGUCCAUGAGUUUUCCUUCUGUCUAUUGGACUGGACACAUUUUCUGCCGUCACAGACCAGUGAUUAGACAUCAGAUUACAUCUUGAUGUUAUAACUGUGCUGCCCUCUAAUGGAGGUCUGGGAAUCCCAGUUUCCGCGGGACUCAGCACUCCAUUUUGGAAUCAAUCCAGCUCAGGUACCUGCUCAUUUAGGUUUUCAUUAUCCUCAUUUUUUACUUAAGAAACCUCAAGACUCAGAAAGGUAUAGUGGCAUCUUUCAGUUAAAUAUCAGGGGAUCGAACUUGGGUUCUUGCACUUGCAGCAGGUGGUGAAACCACUGAGCCAAAUCCCCGGCCCUUGAGAAUUCAUAACAGAGGCCCAGGAAGUUAAAUCAACUCCCUAAGGCCCACAACUCGUGGUAAGAGGGGGACUGAAAUUCCUGCUGACCUGCUGCUGACACUGACUCCUCUCAGCGGGGCGCUGGAGUUGAGAGAACAAUCCUGACCCAACCCUUUAGAAAUGUGGACACUAAUGAUAAUGAUGAGCAAGGAUGGCGAUCAUUGGAGGAAAGAUGAAC
rnacentral:lncRNA from 1 species